UACAUAGGUAGCGAGCGUUGUCCGGAUUUACUGGGUGUAAAGGGCGCGUAGGCGGGAAUGCAAGUCAGGAGUGAAAUCUAUGGGCUCAACCCAUAAAUUGCUUUUGAAACUGUAUUUCUUGAGUAUCGGAGAGGCAGGCGGAAUUCCGUGUGUAGCGGUGAAAUGCGUAGAUAUACGGAGGAACACCAGUGGCGAAGGCGGCCUGCUGGACGACAACUGACGCUGAGGCGCGAAAGCGUGGGGAGCAAAC
rnacentral:rRNA from 1 species